rnacentral:lncRNA from 1 species
UCACCGUCACCGUCAAUUCUGAUGCGGGGGAUAUGGGAAACCUUGGGCCAUUCAGAAUCAGCUGCCUCCCUUUUAAUCACUAAUUCCGGGCAACCCGUAAUCCAUAGUUCUUCUAAUUUCGUGAGGCGCUGCAUUGCAUCCAUAGAGGGUAGACGCCUUAGCCUUUUGCACUUAUAUAAAUACAACUCCUUUAGAGAUGAGAGGUUCCCAAACCAUUCAGGUAGCUCUUCCAUUCCAAAGUUCUCUAACACUAGUAGAGAAAGAGCAGUGAGAAGUUGAAUUGAUUCCGGUAGGCAUUUCCAACUUUUCAUCCCCGUCAAAGUUAACUUAUCAAGUGAGUGGCAACAUCCUUGCAAUAUGGCAUCCACAGUCUCCACCCCCAUACUAACAUCGAUAUACUCUUCUGUCUCAAGCUGGGAAAAGGCGAAAUCUUAAGACAACCAGUGGCCAUAAAUUUAGGAACGCCUCUAAUUUCCAAUUCUGUUAGACGAGGCAAUCUUGGGAGGCACUCAAUUACCCUUCCUAGAUUCUUUAGGCUACUUAAACUAUUCAACGACAGCUCCUCAAGAGAGAAUCCUAGCAUUUCACAUGGCAAAUACUCCAAUGCUUUGCAUUCCUCAAUCCUGAGAUGGCGAAGGGAUGUGAAGCUUCGUUGGGAUUGUUCUCCGCCGCUAUCUCUAUCCCCUAAUUCUCUCAAAUUGGGGCAGUCCGUUAUAUACAAUUCAGAGAGAGUCUGGUUGUUACUGAAUAACCAAUCAGCUGGGAGACAUUCCACACCAAUCUCACCAAUUUUCAAAUGUUGAAGGCAUGACGAGACAUGACUUGGAACACUCAUCAAUUGCUCGCAAUCGUCAAUUUCCAAAUGUUGGAGGCGAGGAAAUAGCUUCACUUCACUUCCACCCGAAACUUCUAUUUCUGCCCACUCUGCCAGCUUAGGCAUGUGUUCCAAUCUGAGCUUUUCGAGAGAUGGAAAAACAAUGCGUGUGUCCUUGUUCGCCAUUCCGUAGAAUGAAGAAUUUAUACACUUCAAAUUGCUCAAUCCAUUCAACACAAAGGACUUGAGAUUGGGCAAGUGCCCCAACAUUGGGAUCCCUUCACAUUCUUUGCAGUUAUAGAGUGAUAACGACAUUAACUUGUUAAGUACCACAUCUCCAACUGCCAUCUUCUGAGUCCAUAAUGGAAACCUACUGCCUUUGUAUCUAGAAAUCUUUAACUUCUUCAAAUCUGAGUGAGGCUGCAGGCCUUCCAAUACAUUCUCAUCAUUUCUUUCACCUUCUCUCUCAUCACCCCAUUCCAAACGCAACUUCAAUAUUUUUGACUUUUGGAAUAAAUUGGCUUUCGCAGCCUCUUCCUUGUCAUGAACCCUUUCGAGAUUGCGAAUCCGUAGCCCCUCCUUUAAGAUUAUUCAAACUUCCGAGCUCUUCAAUUUUGCACCCAUUCUCGUCCCCCACUGGGAAGUACUUCAGCGUUUGAAGAGACGUUAAUCUCCCGAUUCCCGCAGGCAACUCUACCUUCUCAGUAAUAUAAAGAUGCCUCAAGUUAAUCAAGUACUUAAUCGUACUUGGCAGUUUCUUCAAAUAUUCUGAGACUACUCUCAACGUCUGCAAGUGAAAGAAUUCACCAAUCCAAUCCGGCAAAUAUUCAAUCUUGUCUUCGAAAUGUCAAAAUAUCUCAAAUGUAUCAACUUUUGAAUCGAACUUGACAACUCUUUAACUCCAUACUCAAGACGUAAACAAUGCAGACUUUCGAAGUCUGAGAAGUUGAUACCAGAACUAUCACAUCCAUAUGAUAUUAAUAAUGUACGCAAAUAUUUUACCAUUUCUUUUGAGAUACGACUUGAUUCUUCUUUUUCGUAGAAUCAUGUAUCGAACUCGGCUGCUACCACCCGUAUUGUUAGAGGAAUUUGAAACAGAACAAGCCAGAUCAUGCAAAAGAUCAUGCAUGCCACAACUUUCUACAUUCCCAUCACCAUCUCUCUUUGAAACUUGCAGUAAAGAGUUGUGCAGAAGAACGUUGAUAAAUUUUUCGCCCACCGACUCCAUGUCAUCCCUUCCAUCAGCCUGAAGAAAACCUUCUGCCAUCCAAAACUCAAUCAAUUUAUGUUUAUUGAUUUCAAAUCCUUUAGGAAACAUCGAACAGUACGCAAAGCAUUUCUUAAGUAGUGGCGGAGACAAAUUAUCAAAGCUCAAUCUCAAUAUUUUUGUGAUAUAAUCUCCUCCUUCAUCGGCUGAAAGCCAUUUCUCCUCGAUUGAACGCCAUUUCUCCUCAGAUUUAUUGUGCAUAACACCCCCAACUACGUUGGCAGCUAACGGCAAACCUUGACAUCUACUUGCAAUCUUUUUACCAAUGUCCUCAAAUUCUGAAGGAACAUUUUCUUCUCUGAAGGUUUUAGCUUUGAUUAUCGACCAACAAUCUUCCUCUGAUAAACCUUUCAACUCAUGUGUAUGUAGUGGAUUCACAAUUGAAGCAACCUCCGUACUUCUCGUGGUAAUAAGAAUGGCAUUUCCUUUGACAGAGCUAACUCCCAACAAAGAAUUGAUAAAAUAUUCCCAUUUGGAACGAUCUUCAUUCCAUACAUCAUCGAGUACAAGAAGAUAAGUUUUGUCUUUCAAAGCAUUUUGAAGCUUUGAAAGAAUAUCUUCCGUACUCUCAACUUCAACUUCAACCGAAGUCAACCCUUUGAAAAUUUUCUUAAAAAGAAUGAUUGGAUCAAAAUUUGGAGAAACAUGCACCCAAAUAUGUGAUCCAAGCCGAUUCUCAUCCUUGAGACGAUUGAAGACUCUCCUAGUCAAUGUCGUCUUCCCCAAUCCCCCAUCCCGACAAUGGGAAGGAUGAAAACUGCGCGUUCAUCAGUCGUGAUGCUACUGGUAAGCAUCUCAACUAUUUCCGACGCAACAUCAUCUCUUCCAAUAAAAAUUGGAUCAAGAGUGAAUGAAUUAGUUUCCAAAGUAGCAUUAACCAAAGUGGGCUCAUUGGCAAGUUUCUCUACGAGGCCAAGCUCGGCGGCCUCUUUGUUAAUUGACUCCAAAUUCUCAUUGAUUUCUUUGAUUUUAAGAGCCAUAUUUCGAGAACGUGAAAUAUGGUUGAAGCAUGAGAAGCACGAUGGUACCUUUGUCUUCUUGGGCUUGAUUUGUUUGGAGAGAAUAUGAUAGUUGAGUUCAUCCAAAACAUUGUCAGCAUCGAACGCCACAUCUUCAAGCUUCUUCAACCAGCUCUUGACAGCUUUGCUGCUGAUGCUACGCAUCUCGGCAUCGUACAAGAAAUUUUUGAUCAUGUCGAGAUUCCCUGCUAGCUUUGCUGCAUCUUUGUGGAGAUGUCGGAUUUGAGAGAUCUCUUUCUUGGAAAGAUCGAUGAGGUUUUGAACUAGAGCUUGAAGGACGGCGGCAGCAGCUUCUCCUUCCAUUCUUUGUGCUGAUGAUAAGUUAAAGAGAGAGAGAGAGAGAAAUUGAGUGCGUGUGUGUGAGACAGAUAGGGGGGGUUGUUAAGGAAUAGAAUUGGAUGAGUGGGUGCAUUGACGUAGCCAGAGGGGGCAGUGGGGGCACUGGGCCCCUGGAAAUUUUAAAAAACACUAGAGGUAUUUUAGUAAUUUUAUAUUUAAUAUUAAAUAAAUACAUAAAUAUUCUUAUUUUAGUAAUAAUCCCAAUUUUUCUCUAUGUGUAGUAAAUAAGCUAUUGAACGAUUGUAAAAUUAGAGUUUUAAGGGUGCGUUUACUUUGGCUGAAAAAAAAUUAUUGAAAAAUGAUAGUUAAGAAAAGGUGAGAAAAUAUUUUUCUCCUUUUUUUUAUCAUAUGUUUUGCUAGAGAUGAAAAGAUGAUAAAAUGUUGAAAAAUAUUUUCACACCCAUACUUUAGAAUAAUAUUAUCUAAUAUUUGAGAGAAAAUGAGUGAAAAGGGACUGCCCGAUAAAAUAUUUCACACUUGCCAGAGAAAAUUUUCCAUCAUAAUAAACAUGUGAAAAUGGUGGAAAAUUGAUGAAAAUAUAUUUUUUCUCCGUUUUUCCAUCAAAAUAAGUGUAUUUGGUAAUAAAAUGAAUAAGUGAUUAGAUGUUUUUUGCUUAUAUUUAUUCCAUAUUAGAAAAUUAAAAUAAAUUUAACUGGGAUGGUCCAAAAAUAAAUAUUGAUUAAAUUAGUUGGGACGAAGAUAAUAUUUGGCCCCAUAACUAAAAAGUCUGGCUACGUGACUGAGUGGGUGCAAGCUGAAGAGAUUAAACUUGACAGGAUUUCAUUCUAGACAUGGUUUUCUAUCUUUUUCAUUUUAUAUUUUAUAUUAGUAAUAUUUCAGUCUUUGCCGACACCUUUUUUAAUACUUUAGUUAGCUCAUUAUUGAUAUGGUGGGACCGGGUCUGAUUAAUAUAAAAAAACUGUAAAUAUAAGUAUUUAGUAAAUAUUUUAACCGUGAUAAAAGUAUUAAAAUACUAUAUAAGUAUAAUACCUUUGUAAACCCGUAAAAUUGAGUCCCAUAUUGCUGAAGUAUGAGAUUUAGCUCGGGUUUAUACAGCCUAUUUGGAACCCUUAACCUACAAGCUAGCUUUUGGGAUGAGUUCUGAACAAAAGGUGUCCGCUAUUUUCUCUCUUUCAAACUAUAUUUUAAUUUUAAAUGUAUGCCAAUAUAUAUCAUUGUCACUUAUCAUUUUUAUGCCAUAGCUAUAAUAGAUCAAAUUAGUUGUAAUAAAUAAGAGAUAAAAUUAAUAAAAGUAUGUUAUUAAUGCAUAAUAUUCGAUUAUCCACAUUUUUUAUAUGAAUAUAAAACCAAUAUUUCAUAUAUUUGGCUUUUGUUGGAGGAGUUAUUGGAGCCAUAAUUAAAGAAAUUAUUUCCUUGAAAUAAUUGGAGUUAAAAUGCCGAAACAAAUUAAAGCUCAAUUCUUAUUAAAUCAACAACCCUUAUUUAAGAUUAUUUUUUUUUUUGUGCAAAAUAAACAUAUUUAAUAUAACGCUAUUGAAUUACUCGAUGUAUAAUAUGCACUAAAAAUCUUUGUAGAGAUUAAUUCUAUACAUUUUAUCAAAAGAGAAAACAAAAUUAUAAUAUUAUUAACAAUUGAUAAUAAACUUUAUAACUAUAAUCUUAAGAUAUUAUAAAUUGGUUUACAGCAAAUUUUUUCAUCAAUGAGUUUGUCUACUUUUAUGAAAAAUAGACAAACUCAUUGAUCAACAAUUUUGUUUAACCAUUUCAUAUUAGAAAAAACUUGUAGCUUCAAUAAAACUAACCAUUUGACAUCAAUUAACAUGAUAAUCGUAAAAAUACUAAAUUUGUUAAGCGUUCACAGCUUGGCUAUCGAACUAGGCAGUCCAUACGUAUUUUACAGCUGUGGGGAGGAUGGUUUUGUCCAACAUGUGUACGUCGAGAGAAGGUACAACAGAGACGAUUCCGGAAGCGACGGGGACGAUGAUGAUGAUAGGAGGGUUACCUCUUAGGAUUCUCAGAUGGUGAUCAUGCAGAAAAUGGAGAGAACCCAAGAGAAUGCAGCAUUAGCUAAACCCCUCUCAUUUCCCUAUUUCUACUUGAAAUAUUAACCUUGUUAUGUUACUGUAUGUAAAAUGUGUGGGAUUUGAAUAAUUUCAAUACUGCUAUUCUAUAUGUGUAAAUGAGUAUCAAAGUUAUUUACAUAUUUUGUGGCAAUAACUAACUAGCUUUCAAAUCGGAGCUACUAACUGUAUCUAACUUUGUUCAUGACUAGCUUUAGACUUGUCCUAUAUUUAUUUAGAGCAAAAUUUAGUUCCCACUAUUUUGUAGAAAAAUUAACUCCCUUUAGACGGUAGGUAUCGUUGAUAUCAUUCAUUUUAAUUAAAAAUUAUAUAAAAUAAAAACUUGAUUUGUUCAUUUUCCAUAUACCUUCAAAUAAAUUAAAAAUAAAAUAUUUUUUUAAUGUAAUUUAUUGAUUGGAGAAAAAUGAAUCAGUAAAAUAGAAUUUAAUUAAUAAUAGAUGUAUACUUAGAGUAUGGUUAUACGCAGUAAAAACUACAUUUUUCAUGAGAACAUGAGAAUUAUUAUAAAUAAUUUAAACUUUUUUUUUCUUUAGAUUUUUUAAAUAUUUUAAACGAGGCUAAUUUCGAGUUGAGAUUAAUGUGGAGCCCCUAUUUCGAUCCAUCUGCUCAUGACUAGUUCUGCAUCACUUGAAUAUAAGCUUGAGUCGUCAAGCCCAUUUCAACUCAAUUCCGAGAUAAACUCCCUCGUCAUGAAGAAUUUCUAUUUUCUUUUUUGGAGUCCACAAAAAAAUUCUACCUAUUUUUUGGACUAUCCCAUCAUUAUAUAUAAUUCUUUACUUUACUUUUUCAAACUCUCAAUAUUAAUAUAACACUUUUCACUACUCCCAAUAUACUCAACAAAUUUUUUCACACUCUCAAUACACCUAACAAUUUUUUCUUAAAACCGUGACUCUCUCCUAGAAUUUUUUGUGGACGGAGGGAGUACAAACAAUCUUAAUGGGCUUGAAUCACCAAGGCCCAUUUCAACUCGGUUUCUAGAUAAGCUUAGUAGAGCUAAUUCAAACAGGUAGCUUUGAUGAAUGUAACAAAUAAAGAAAGAGCUCUCCCUUUCUGCCACCCCACUUCCUCCCAUCGACGCCAAGCUAACACCAUUGAAGAGAUUCAAGAACGGGUAGAUAGAUGGUAAUUUUGGAGUUUCUUGAGGGUAAUUUUAUCUUUCCAUAACUUAAUUUGAAGCAUUAGAAAAUUAUUUUGCAUAAUUGAUAAAACUGAUUGAGUAUUUUUAUUCUCAAGAUAUUGCUCCAAUUACACUCUUUGAUGGGACAAGAAUCAACAAAACUACUGAAUGAUAGAAAAAAAAUCAAGGCCUUGGAAUAUUCAAUUAAUCCAAUCCAUCAAAGUAAACAAAUAUUAACUUACUAUUUUUAUCUAUCAAAUUAAUUAUCUAAGUAAACACCCCAUUAAAGUUUAAAAAUUGGGAGUAUCUAAAAGAGGAACAAUAAUUUAGAAAUGGGCCUUGCUUAAUUCCGGGCCUAAGCAAUAACUAUAAGCUACAAGGAAAUAAGGCCAUACAUGUUUGCUAUAUAUAUCUAUACUCAUUAAAGUAUUUUCAUGGCCUGUAAUGAUUGUUUUUUUUUUUUUUUUGAAACCUAGCCUGUAAUGAUUGUGAAAGAUGAUACUCCAUGCAAAAUGAAAAGUUAUUUCAAAUCUUCAACACUUUAUGCUAAACCAGAAUCGGGAAAUUUAGUUUGCAAUUUACAGUCUCAAUCAAAUUAAGGUAAGAAGAUAUAACACAAAAUCACAUAUAACAUAAAUAUAAAAACAUGAGUAGAAGUGGAGAUGCUUUGUCUGUCUGCAACAAAUUGAUAUCCACAUGCAUCCUCUUCAACUUUCGGCAUUAUAAUCCUAUCAACAAAAGUUCAAAUCAAAAUGGACACUCACUCAAAAUAAUUGAUCUCAUAUCGUUUAAGCAUAUCGAGAUGAAGUGGAGCACCAAACGAAUAGCAACUGAAUUGGAAUUAAACUCCAUAAAGUAAGAUACGGUACCUCAAUUUCUGAUAAUCAUUUUUUUUUUCAAAUAAAAUACACAUGUAAUUGUUUCUAUAUAUAUAAAAAUAAACAAGAAAAGAUAUUGAUACUCACCGUAACCGUCAAUGUAGAUGUGGGGGAUAUGGGAAACCUUGGGCCAUUCAGAAUUUCCGGGCAAUCCCAAAUAGAUAGUAUUUUUAAUGUUGUGAGGCGCUGCAUUGCAUCCAUAGAGGGUAGACGCCUUAGCCUUCUGCAGUUCCAUAAAGUCAAUUUGGUAUCCACAUGCAUCCUCUUCAACCUUCAAUAUAAUAAUCCUAUCAACAAAAGUUUAAACAAAGAAUAUAUAGGAAAUUAAAAAAUUAUGAAAAGAGGUUGAGCAAAAUCAUGAUGGAGAAAAUAGAUACUCACUCACUGAUCCCUUGCUUCACCUUCUAUUUCUUUAAAGACACCUCAAACACAACUGUUUACUGAUUCCACCAAUAAUCUAUUAAUCUGUAUCAACACAAAAAAGAAUUAAUAGAAAAAAGAUAAAAUGACGGCUCCAUGUAAAAGUGUGGUAAACAAACUCAAAUUAAUUAUCUCCUAUUGUUUAAGCAUAUUGAGAUGAAGUGAAGCACCAAACUAAUAAGACAACUGAAUUGGAAACUCCAUAAGAUAAGAUGAUAGAUUUUACUAGACUACCUCAAUUUCUGAUGAUUAGAUUUAAAAAAAUAAAUAAAAAUAAAACACACAUCUAAUUGUUUUUUAUUAGAACAAACAAACACAUAUAUUUAAACUUACCGGCACCGCCGGCAAUGUCUUUGUAUUUGGCGCCAUUAAUGUAGAUUUCAGGGAUAUGUGAAACCUUGGGCCAUUCAGAAUCAGCUGCCUCCCUUUUAAUCACUAAUUCCGGGCAACGCCUAAUAUCUAGUGUUUUUAAUGUUGUGAGGCGCUGCAUUGCAUCCAUAGAGGGUAGACGCCUUAGCCUUUUGAAGUUACAUAAAAUCAACUCCUUUAGAGAUGCGAGGUUUCCAAACCAUUCAGGUAACUCUUCCAUUCCAAAAUUACGUAACCAUAACUGAGAAAGAGCAGUAAGAAGUUGAAUUGAUUCCGGUAGGCAUUCCCAACUUUCCAUCCCC